UACGUAGGGGGCAAGCGUUGUCCGGAUUUAUUGGGCGUAAAGCGCGUGUAGGCGGUCCGGUAAGUCCGCUGUGAAAGUCGGGGGGCUCAACCCUCGGAUGCCGGUGGAUACUGUCGGGCUUGAGUACGGAAGAGGCGAGUGGAAUUCCUGGUGUAGCGGUGAAAUGCGCAGAUAUCAGGAGGAACACCAAUUGCGAAGGCAGCUCGCUGGGACGUUACUGACGCUGAGACGCGAAAGCGUGGGGGAGCAAACAGG
rnacentral:rRNA from 1 species